rnacentral:rRNA from 1 species
AAUACUUAGGAAUCUACCUAUUAAUGGGGGACAACAUUUCGAAAGGAAUGCUAAUACCGCAUACGCCCUACGGGGGAAAGCAGGGGCUCUUCGGACCUUGCGUUAAUAGAUGAGCCUAAGUCGGAUUAGCUAGUUGGUGGGGUAAAGGCCUACCAAGGCGACGAUCUGUAGCGGGUCUGAGAGGAUGAUCCGCCACACUGGGACUGAGACACGGCCCAGACUCCUACGGGAGGCAGCAGUGGGGAAUAUUGGACAAUGGGGGGAACCCUGAUCCAGCCAUGCCGCGUGUGUGAAGAAGGCCUUUUGGUUGUAAAGCACUUUAAGCGAGGAGGAGGCUACUCUAGUUAAUACCUAGAGCUAGUGGACGUUACUCGCAGAAUAAGCACCGGCUAACUCUGUGCCAGCAGCCGCGGUAAUACAGAGGGUGCGAGCGUUAAUCGGAUUUACUGGGCGUAAAGCGUGCGUAGGUGGCCUUUUAAGUCAAAUGUGAAAUCCCCGAGCUUAACUUGGGAAUUGCAUUCGAUACUGGUUGGCUAGAGUAUGGGAGAGGAUGGGUAGAAUUCCAGGUGUAGCGGUGAAAUGCGUAGAGAUCUGGAGG